rnacentral:lncRNA from 1 species
AUCACAGUGAUCUCAUGCCCCAGCUUUCCUGUUCAUCAUGGGAAACCAACUUGACACACAGCUGUGCUGCAGGGGUGUCUGGUUCAUCAGCAGGCAGUGGUUUCUUGCAGAUGCCUCUUGACCCCUGUGGUUGCAGUAGCUGCUGAUGUCAUUGAAGGAGCGGGAUUGAAAACAGGGGAUGUUUCUGCAGCGUGGCAGAGGAGCAGUCAGCAGAGGGACUCAGACAGAGAAGGCUCAGCGGAUGCCAUGGGCUCAGCAGAUGGCUUGGUGAAGUUAUCUGUAUCGUCCUGGGCCUCCCAGCACCCUGCAACAGGCAAUGGAUUUGCUUUUCUGUGCUCAACACUCCAGACAUGAAGACAUGAAGACAUGAAGACGCCUACAUCACUGUCUGAAGUGAAACCAAGAAGAUGGGCUGAAAGAAUGGAAAAACUCAACUCUCAGCAGAAGUGGCAAAAAAGUGUGAAGAGAAAGAUAACAAGCUGUAGGUCAUCUGAUUGAACUCCUUCUAAAUUAGCUGAGAACUACAAUAUGAAUAAAAAUCAAAAUAAAUUUGAGG